GGGUGAGUAACACGUGGGUAACCUGCCUGUAAGACUGGGAUAACUCCGGGAAACCGGAGCUAAUACCGGAUAGUUCCUUGAACCGCAUGGUUCAAGGAUGAAAGACGGUUUCGGCUGUCACUUACAGAUGGACCCGCGGCGCAUUAGCUAGUUGGUGAGGUAACGGCUCACCAAGGCGACGAUGCGUAGCCGACCUGAGAGGGUGAUCGGCCACACUGGGACUGAGACACGGCCCAGACUCCUACGGGAGGCAGCAGUAGGGAAUCUUCCGCAAUGGACGAAAGUCUGACGGAGCAACGCCGCGUGAGUGAUGAAGGUUUUCGGAUCGUAAAGCUCUGUUGUUAGGGAAGAACAAGUGCAAGAGUAACUGCUUGCACCAUGACGGUACCUAACCAGAAAGCCACGGCUAACUACGUGCCAGCAGCCGCGGUAAUACGUAGGUGGCAAGCGUUGUCCGGAAUUAUUGGGCGUAAAGGGCUCGCAGGCGGUUUCUUAAGUCUGAUGUGAAAGCCCCCGGCUCAACCGGGGAGGGUCAUUGGAAACUGGGAAACUUGAGUGCAGAAGAGGAGAGUGGAAUUCCACGUGUAGCGGUGAAAUGCGUAGAGAUGUGGAGGAACACCAGUGGCGAAGGCGACUCUCUGGUCUGUAACUGACGCUGAGGAGCGAAAGCGUGGGGAGCGAACAGGAUUAGAUACCCUGGUAGUCCACGCCGUAAACGAUGAGUGCUAAGUGUUAGGGGGUUUCCGCCCCUUAGUGCUGCAGCUAACGCAUUAAGCACUCCGCCUGGGGAGUACGGUCGCAAGACUGAAACUCAAAGGAAUUGACGGGGGCCCGCACAAGCGGUGGAGCAUGUGGUUUAAUUCGAAGCAACGCGAAGAACCUUACCAGGUCUUGACAUCCUCUGACAACCCUAGAGAUAGGGCUUUCCCUUCGGGGACAGAGUGACAGGUGGUGCAUGGUUGUCGUCAGCUCGUGUCGUGAGAUGUUGGGUUAAGUCCCGCAACGAGCGCAACCCUUGAUCUUAGUUGCCAGCAUUCAGUUGGGCACUCUAAGGUGACUGCCGGUGACAAACCGGAGGAAGGUGGGGAUGACGUCAAAUCAUCAUGCCCCUUAUGACCUGGGCUACACACGUGCUACAAUGGACAGAACAAAGGGCUGCGAGACCGCAAGGUUUAGCCAAUCCCACAAAUCUGUUCUCAGUUCGGAUCGCAGUCUGCAACUCGACUGCG
rnacentral:rRNA from 1 species